rnacentral:rRNA from 1 species
CUGCUGCCUCCCGUAGGAGUCUGGGCCGUGUCUCAGUCCCAAUGUGGCCGGCCAACCUCUCAGUCCGGCUACUGAUCGUCGCUUUGGUGGGCCGUUACCCCGCCAACUGCUAAUCAGACGCGG